GGGGCUGUGGCUCAGUGGUAGAGCGCGUGCCUAGAAUGUGUGAGGCACUGAGUUCAAUUCUCAGUACCA
rnacentral:tRNA from 1 species